rnacentral:tRNA from 1 species
GGCCGCGUGGCCUAAUGGACAAGGCGCCUGACUUCUAAUCAGGGAGAUUGUGGGUUCGAGUCCCCACGUGGUCA